GAUGAACGCUGGCGGCGUGCCUAACACAUGCAAGUCGAGCGAUCUUCUUCGGAGGAGAGCGGCGGACGGGUGAGUAACGCGUGGGUAACCUGCCUCAUACACAUGGAUAACAUACCGAAAGGUAUGCUAAUACAAGAUGAUAUAAGAGAUUCGCAUGGAUUUCUUAUCAAAGCUCCGGCGGUAUGAGAUGGACCCGCGUCUGAUUAGCUAGUUGGUAAGGUAACGGCUUACCAAGGCGACGAUCAGUAGCCGACCUGAGAGGGUGAUCGGCCACAUUGGAACUGAGACACGGUCCAAACUCCUACGGGAGGCAGCAGUGGGGAAUAUUGCACGAUGGGCGAAAGCCUGAUGCAGCAACGCCGCGUGAGCGAUGAAGGCCUUCGGGUCGUAAAGCUCUGUCCUCAAGGAAGAUAAUGACGGUACUUGAGGAGGAAGCCCCGGCUAACUACGUGCCAGCAGCCGCCGUAA
rnacentral:rRNA from 1 species